GUGACAGCCGCCGCGGUAAUACGGAGGGGGCUAGCGUUGUUCGGAAUUACUGGGCGUAAAGCGCACGUAGGCGGAUCGUUAAGUCGGGGGUGAAAUCCCGGGGCUCAACCCCGGAACUGCCUUCGAUACUGGCGGUCUGGAGGUCGAGAGAGGUGAGUGGAAUUCCGAGUGUAGAGGUGAAAUUCGUAGAUAUUCGGAGGAACACCAGUGGCGAAGGCGGCUCACUGGCUCGAUACUGACGCUGAGGUGCGAAAGCGUGGGGAGCAAACAGGAUUAGAUACCCCCGUAGUCC
rnacentral:rRNA from 1 species